GAGACCUUCCAGCUGAAAACACUACGUGCCUAAACUGCUACCCUGCACAAACAUGGGGGUAAAGCGAAGAAUAAAAAGACUUAAAAAGAAGCCCAAGACUCUACAGUGGGAACAUAACAGGGAAAUUCGGCUGGGAGUAGAGCUUACCAUGAAUAGAGAAUGGAGCCUUUCAUUUCUGCGUGGUGGGUCCAAGUCCCUACCAGCUCCUCCCAACUUUGGUGGAUUCACCACAAUGGCAUGUGCUCAGGCUUCUUCAGCAGGAAAUAAAGCCUGGGUCCACCAGUCCCAUCUUCCUCUCUGCUGGAGGACCUGCCCUGAAAACUCCUGCCGUCAAACAGUGGGAGGCUCAGGUGUGUGUCCCAGGUAAGGAUUGCAAUCAGGACUCUAUCAGGAUGGGAUUCUUGCAGCAUCCCCAUGGAUUUGUACCACAUGGUCACUGGUAGACAGUCUGAAAGAUAAGAAUCAAUGCUUUACAUGACUUCAUUGAGUGAUGGACUCUGAAACACCAGGUGGACAAACAGGUGAUUUUCUUAUCCUCAACAGAAAUACGUGCUGUUGAAAAGCUGCAGACUUGGAAUAUGUUCAUGGAUAAUUUCUUGCAAGGAGGUUUGUUCUCCAAAGUUGUGUUUUCCCAAGUUUAUGCAAUCUGGUCAGAAUAAUACUGAUAUUUUCUUGUUCCAUAGCUGGAGUUGAUUCUGCGGUCCCUGAAGUGGGGUUUGGACCAUGCAGAGGGUCACUUAUCCCAGGGUGAGGAUAGAGGUGGAGGUGACAACACCCAAGAGAAGACCGUGAACUUCAGGGACACCUUUGAAAACUUAGGCAUUGUAGACUUCAGGCUACCAAACAGCUGGAUUUGCUGAACACAUUGUCUCUCUGUUUUUUUUUUUUUUUUUUUUUUUUUUUUCAGCCCAGAAGCAUUGUUUGGGCAGCUGUUGAAAAAUUUAUACAUUUGUUAGGAUCUCAAGCUGUUUGGGAGCCGUGGCAGGUCAGAUGCUCUGCCCAGGCUGCUUGACAAGCAGGUUGUACCACAGCCUGGUGGUAACCACAAGCCGGCAUGAACCCUCAUAGUCAGGCCAACACUUCCUAGAGAGCAUCAUAUUUAUUGCGCACAUGUGACGGAGUCGCCGCAGGCCCUGCAGGGUGAGGGCUCAGAGCUUCUGGGGAUUGUCUGAGGGACCUACUGCCCAUGUGCUGCCCAGCCACUGGGGAACACGGGCGGUGAAGGGAUCCUGCGAGUCAGAUUUACAGUGAAAAGGCAGCAGCAAUGAAACGCCGCAUGUGCAGCAGGACGUGCCGCUUCCUGAAGUUGCUGAGGUUGGAGCGCACAUACGCUGCCCAGAUUUCCCCCAGCCCCAAAUGUGGGAGCUCCAAAGGCUGGAGGCUUGAGAAAGGGAGGUGAUAUUUUUAAGAUGUGUGGGGUGUGAGGGGCCAGGAAGAAAUGUGCCGCUCGGCACCGUGGUUCUGCCAACCUCAUGGCAAGCUGGCUGAUACACGGUGAGAAAAAGAUGCCCAGGUUCCACUACUGGAUAGGUGUUGCACCUCCAGGUGAUGCAGAGCUCCUGGAAUUGCUCCAUCUAUGCUCUCCUUCCCCAGUCAAAUAGGAAUAUACAAAACAUAGAAUCAUGGAAUGGGUUUGGGUUGGAAGGGACCUUAAAGAGCACCCAGUCCCACCCCCUGCACUGGGCAGGGACACCUCCCACCAGACCAGGUUGCUCAAAUCCACAGUAGCGAGGAUGCCCAAUAAAGAUGCCAUCAACAUAAAUAAAGAUGAUGAG
rnacentral:lncRNA from 1 species